GCUCCGUUAAACUUGAUCUAGCGUAUUUGAAGUUUCUAGAAAAUAAUUUUUGCGAUUUUUCAAUAUCAUUUACCUAGCAAUCGAAAAGAUUCAAAAUCAAUAAUUUUUAACGGCUGAAAAUAAAAAUCCUAUAAAAAGUGGUGAUAUAGCACUAAAAUUUUCGAUCAGAAAUAUUGAUCUUGUCGUAGAUAGCAUAAAGAAUUUUCUAUCAAAAUUUCAUCUGAUUUAAAUACUUUUACACCGUUAAACUUGAAAACGGCAAAUAUCAACCAUUAAAAAUUAUGGAUUUUGAAUCAUUUCGAUCGCUAAGUAAAUGAUAUUAAAAAAUCGCAAAAAUUAUUUUCUAGAAACUUCAAAUGCGCUAGAUCAAGUCUAACGGAGUUGAUCGUUGAUUCGAAAAUUCCAUCAUCGAAAACGGCUCAGAAGCACGGAGGCCUCCGUGCUCUCCGUGCUCCUGAGAGCACAGCAGCCCUGCUCAUAUAUAUAUAUAUAUAUUACAUUAAGGUAAUCUCACCGUUAUAUAUAUAAAAUAAUAAAAUUUUAAAAAUACAUUUCUCAACCGCAUUCAACCAAACAAAUUAUUUAUAGUUACGAUAUUUUCUACUAAAUCGAAUUGAAUACGACUGUAUUUUUAACUAUAUUUAUUUUUAACUAUACUAUAUUUAUAAUUAUAUCUAACCAAACAGCUCCUUAAAAGCGAUCAUCGUU
rnacentral:lncRNA from 1 species